GACGAACGCUGGCGGCGUGCUUAACACAUGCAAGUCGAACGCUGAAGACCUGGCUUUUGUUGGGUUGGAUGAGUGGCGAACGGGUGAGUAACACGUGAGUAACCUGCCCUCUUCUUUGGGAUAACGCCCGGAAACGGGUGCUAAUACUGGAUAUUCAUUGAUCUUCGCAUGGGGGUUGGUGGAAAGGUUUGUUCUGGUGGGGGAUGGGCUCGCGGCCUAUCAGCUUGUUGGUGGGGUGAUGGCCUACCAAGGCUUUGACGGGUAGCCGGCCUGAGAGGGUGACCGGUCACAUUGGGACUGAGAUACGGCCCAGACUCCUACGGGAGGCAGCAGUGGGGAAUAUUGCACAAUGGGCGAAAGCCUGAUGCAGCGACGCCGCGUGAGGGAUGGAGGCCUUCGGGUUGUAAACCUCUUUCGCUCAUGGUCAAGCCGCAACUGUGGGUUGUGGUGAGGGUAGUGGGUAAAGAAGCGCCGGCUAACUACGUG
rnacentral:rRNA from 1 species